rnacentral:rRNA from 1 species
UACGAAGGGGGCUAGCGUUGCUCGGAAUUACUGGGCGUAAAGGGAGCGUAGGCGGACAGUUUAGUCAGAGGUGAAAGCCCAGGGCUCAACCCUGGAAUUGCCUUUGAUACUGACUGUCUUGAGUGUGGGAGAGGUGUGUGGAACUCCGAGUGUAGAGGUGAAAUUCGUAGAUAUUCGCAAGAACACCAGUGGCGAAGGCGGCUCACUGGCCCGGUACUGACGCUGAGGUGCGAAAGCGUGGGGAGCAAACAGG